UUAGCCCACUGAGCCACGCAGGCACCUCACAAAGUCAACAAAUUCUUAAUGAGUGCUUUUCAUGUGCCAAAUGCUGACUCCACUGUGGUAAACUGUAGUUCCUGCCUCCAUACCCCUUUCCUGAAAAGAUCAGAAAGCUGAUGAAGAGAUUUUGCUUGAGUUUCCACGGGGAAAACUGGAGUCACUGAGAAACCAAAUUCCAGUCUCUUCAAGGUCACUUAAUGGAAAAGCAACAGGAGCCACACUCACUGCAGAAGUAGGACCUACCAAGGUGAGACACAGCAAUCUGCCCAUCUCACUGUGUGAAAGUCAUGAGGGAAUAAGACCCCUACAGCCUUCUAUUUCUUUGUCAGCCACAACACUAGGGUUCUGCCCCUGCUUCUCUUGCUAACAAGAUAUUGAAGUCUUCAUGCGAAUG
rnacentral:lncRNA from 1 species